rfam:Pan troglodytes isolate Yerkes chimp pedigree #C0471 (Clint) chromosome 3, whole genome shotgun sequence.
GCCAGGUGAGGUGGUGCACGCCUGUAAUCCCAGCUACUUGGGAGGCUGAGGAGGAGGGUGGCUUGAGCCCAGGAGCUCUGGGCAGCUGUGCCCUACUUUGAUUGGGUGUCUGCACUAAGUUCGGCAUCAAUAUGGUGACCUCUCAGGAUGGGGAGACCACCAGGUUGCCUAAAGUGGGUGAAGUGGCCCAGGUCAGAAAUGGAGCAGGUCAAAACUCACUGUAGUGGGAUCGCAUCUGUGAAUAGCCACUGCACUCCAGCCUGGGCAACAUAGUGAGACUCCGUUUCUA